GGUGGCUCAGUAGUAGAGCACUUGCUUUGUAUGCAUGAGGCCCUGGGUUCAAUCUCCAGUACCA
rnacentral:tRNA from 1 species